rnacentral:rRNA from 1 species
CCACCAAGGCGACGAUUGGUAGCCGGACUGAGAGGUUGAACGGCCACAUUGGGACUGAGACACGGCCCAGACUCCUACGGGAGGCAGCAGUGGGGGAUAUUGCACAAUGGGGGAAACCCUGAUGCAGCGACGCCGCGUGGAGGAAGAAGGUUUUCGGAUUGUAAACUCCUGUCGUUAGGGACGAUAAUGACGGUACCUAACAAGAAAGCACCGGCUAACUACGUGCCAGCAGCCGCGGUAAAACGUAGGGUGCAAGCGCUGUCCGGAAUUACUGGGUGUAAAGGGAGCGCAGGCGGGAAGACAAGUUGGAAGUGAAAACCAUGGGCUCAACCCAUGAAUUGCUUUCAAAACUGUUUUUCUUGAGUAGUGCAGAGGUAGAUGGAAUUCCCGGUGUAGCGGUGGAAUGCGUAGAUAUCGGGAGGAACACCAGUGGCGAAGGCGGUCUACUGGGCACCAACUGACGCUGAGGCUCGAAAGCAUGGGUAGCAAACAGGAUUAGAUACCCUGGUAGUCCAUGCCGUAAACGAUGAUUACUAGGUGUUGGGGG